CAUGCCGUAAACGAUGAGUGCUAAGUGUUAGGGGGUUUCCGCCCCUUAGUGCUGCAGCUAACGCAUUAAGCACUCCGCCUGGGGAGUACGACCGCAAGGUUGAAACUCAAAGGAAUUGACGGGGGCCCGCACAAGCGGUGGAGCAUGUGGUUUAAUUCGAUGAUACGCGAGGAACCUUACCCGGGCUUGAAUUGCAACCGAAUAAUCGAGAGAUCGAUUAGCCGCAAGGCGGUUGUGAAGGUGC
rnacentral:rRNA from 1 species